rnacentral:rRNA from 1 species
GACGAACGCUGGCGGCGUGCCUAAUACAUGCAAGUAGAACGCACAUUUUAUACCUUGGUUUGAUACACUAUAGACUGUGAGUUGCGUACGGGUGAGUAACCCGUACUUAACCUGUCUGGUAGCUUGGGAUAACUAUAGGAAACGAUAGCUAAUACCGCAUAAUACUUAUUAUUGCAUUAUAAUUUAUCGUAUGAUGCUAUCUUAUCACUACCCCAGGGACCUGCGUUGUAUUAGCUAGUAGGUGAGGUAACGGCUCACCUAGGCGACGAUACAUAGCCGACCUGAGAGGGUGAUCGGCCACACUGGGACUGAGACACGGCCCAGACUCCUACGGGAGGCAGCAGUAGGGAAUCUUCCGCAAUGGACGAAAGUCUGACCGAGCAACGCCGCGUGAGUGAAGAAGGUUUUCGGGUCGUAAAGCUCUGUUGUAAGAGAAGAACGAGUGUCGGAGUGGAAAGUUCACACUGUGACGGUAUCUAACCAGAAAGGGACGGCUAACUACGUG